GCGCUUCUUGCUGCCAACAUGUGAAGAAAGACGUGUUUGCUUCCCCUUCCACCAUGAUUGUAAAAUCAACAAGGAAGGCGAUGAGCACAGCAGUGUGAAGCAAUGACAAGGAUGCCCUAAGCUCUAUGAAACUGCGAGAUAAACAUCUACCAGGUUGAUAUCAUAUCACUCAAAAGCAAAAUUUAUUCCUCAGGUCUCUUCACAGCGUGGCGCCUGGGUUCCAAGGGGAAUCAUCCCAAGAGAGAACCAGGGAGAAACUGUAUCCACCUGCAAGAUCUAACAUCAGAAGUCAUAUAGAACACCAUUCCCUACUCUUAGCUAAGGAAGUCACAGAGAUCUGACUCCCUUCCUUCAAGGGAGGGAACCAUAGACUCUACUUGUGGGACUGGCUGGGUUCUGAUAGAAUAUGGACAUAUGACUUCAGCCAUUUUUGGAAAUUAUACUGUGCCACACCUUAACGUGUCAGAAGACGAGGACACUGUCAUAACUUUCAGUCAAUUGCUCAAACCAAAUAUCAAAGUAUUAUCCUGAAUA
rnacentral:lncRNA from 10 species